rnacentral:rRNA from 1 species
UUAAGUUAUUAAGGGCGCACGGUGGAUGCCUUGGCACUAGAAGCCGAUGAAGGACGUUACUAACGACGAUAUGCUUUGGGUAGCUGUAAGUAAGCGUUGAUCCAGAGAUUUCCGAAUGGGGGAACCCAGCAUGAGUUAUGUCAUGUUAUCGACAUGUGAAUUCAUAGCAUGUCAGAAGGCAGACCCGGAGAACUGAAACAUCUUAGUACCCGGAGGAAGAGAAAGAAAAAUCGAUUCCCUGAGUAGCGGCGAGCGAAACGGGAAGAGCCCAAACCAACAAGCUUGCUUGUUGGGGUUGUAGGACACUCUAUACGGAGUUACAAAAGAACAUGUUAGACGAAUCAUCUGGAAAGAUGAAUCAAAGAAGGUAAUAAUCCUGUAGUCGAAAACAUAUUCUCUCUUGAGUGGAUCCUGAGUACGACGGAGCACGUGAAAUUCCGUCGGAAUCUGGGAGGACCAUCUCCUAAGGCUAAAUACUCUCUAGUGACCGAUAGUGAACCAGUACCGUGAGGGAAAGGUGAAAAGUACCCCGGAAGGGGAGUGAAAGAGAACUUGAAACCGUGUGCUUACAAGUAGUCAGAGCCCGUUAAUGGGUGAUGGCGUGCCUUUUGUAGAAUGAACCGGCGAGUUACGAUCUGAUGCAAGGUUAAGCAGCAAAUGUGGAGCCGCAGCGAAAGCGAGUCUGAAUAGGGCGUUGAGUAUUUGGUCGUAGACCCGAAACCAGGUGAUCUACCCUUGGUCAGGUUGAAGUUCAGGUAACACUGAAUGGAGGACCGAACCGACUUACGUUGAAAAGUGAGCGGAUGAACUGAGGGUAGCGGAGAAAUUCCAAUCGAACUUGGAGAUAGCUGGUUCUCUCCGAAAUAGCUUUAGGGCUAGCCUCAAGUGAUGAUUAUUGGAGGUAGAGCACUGUUUGGACGAGGGGCCCCUCUCGGGUUACCGAAUUCAGACAAACUCCGAAUGCCAAUUAAUUUAACUUGGGAGUCAGAACAUGGGUGAUAAGGUCCGUGUUCGAAAGGGAAACAGCCCAGACCACCAGCUAAGGUCCCAAAAUAUAUGUUAAGUGGAAAAGGAUGUGGCGUUGCCCAGACAACUAGGAUGUUGGCUUAGAAGCAGCCAUCAUUUAAAGAGUGCGUAAUAGCUCACUAGUCGAGUGACACUGCGCCGAAAAUGUACCGGGGCUAAACAUAUUACCGAAGCUGUGGAUUGUCCUUUGGACAAUGGUAGGAGAGCGUUCUAAGGGCGUCGAAGCAUGAUCGCAAGGACAUGUGGAGCGCUUAGAAGUGAGAAUGCCGGUGUGAGUAGCGAAAGACGGGUGAGAAUCCCGUCCACCGAUUGACUAAGGUUUCCAGAGGAAGGCUCGUCCGCUCUGGGUUAGUCGGGUCCUAAGCUGAGGCCGACAGGCGUAGGCGAUGGAUAACAGGUUGAUAUUCCUGUACCACCUAGUAUCGUUUUAAUCGAUGGGGGGACGCAGUAGGAUAGGCGAAGCGUGCUGUUGGAGUGCACGUCCAAGCAGUAAGGCUGAGUGUUAGGCAAAUCCGGCACUCAUAAGGCUGAGCUGUGAUGGGGAGAGGAAAUUGUUUCCUCGAGUCGUUGAUUUCACACUGCCGAGAAAAGCCUCUAGAUAGAUAACAGGUGCCCGUACCGCAAACCGACACAGGUAGUCAAGAUGAGAAUUCUAAGGUGAGCGAGCGAACUCUCGUUAAGGAACUCGGCAAAAUGACCCCGUAACUUCGGGAGAAGGGGUGCUCUUUAGGGUUCACGCCCAGAAGAGCCGCAGUGAAUAGGCCCAAGCGACUGUUUAUCAAAAACACAGGUCUCUGCUAAACCGUAAGGUGAUGUAUAGGGGCUGACGCCUGCCCGGUGCUGGAAGGUUAAGAGGAGUGGUUAGCUUCUGCGAAGCUACGAAUCGAAGCCCCAGUAAACGGCGGCCGUAACUAUAACGGUCCUAAGGUAGCGAAAUUCCUUGUCGGGUAAGUUCCGACCCGCACGAAAGGCGUAACGAUUUGGGCACUGUCUCAACGAGAGACUCGGUGAAAUUUUAGUACCUGUGAAGAUGCAGGUUACCCGCGACAGGACGGAAAGACCCCAUGGAGCUUUACUGUAGUUUGAUAUUGAGUGUUUGUACCACAUGUACAGGAUAGGUAGGAGCCGAUGAGACCGGAACGCUAGUUUCGGAGGAGGCGCUGGUGGGAUACUACCCUUGUGUUAUGAACCCUCUAACCCGCACCACUAAUCGUGGUGGGAGACAGUGUCAGAUGGGCAGUUUGACUGGGGCGGUCGCCUCCUAAAAGGUAACGGAGGCGCCCAAAGGUUCCCUCAGAAUGGUUGGAAAUCAUUCGAAGAGUGUAAAGGCAGAAGGGAGCUUGACUGCGAGACCUACAAGUCGAGCAGGGACGAAAGUCGGGCUUAGUGAUCCGG